UAGGGAAUCUUCCGCAAUGGACGAAAGUCUGACGGAGCAACGCCGCGUGAGUGAUGAAGGUUUUCGGAUCGUAAAGCUCUGUUGUUAGGGAAGAACAAGUGCGAGAGUAACUGCUCGCACCUUGACGGUACCUAACCAGAAAGCCACGGCUAACUACGUG
rnacentral:rRNA from 3 species